rnacentral:rRNA from 1 species
UACGGGGGGGGCAAGCGUUGUUCGGAAUUACUGGGCGUAAAGGGCUCGUAGGCGGCCAACUAAGUCAGACGUGAAAUCCCUGGGCUCAACCCAGGAACUGCGUCCGAUACUGGAAGGCUUGAAUCCGGGAGAGGGAUGCGGAAUUCCAGGUGUAGCGGUGAAAUGCGCAGAUAUCAGGAAGAACACCUAUGGCGAAGGCAGCUCUCUGGGACGGUACUGACGCUGAGACGCGAAAGCGUGGGGAGCGAACAGG